rnacentral:rRNA from 1 species
ACUCCUACGGGAGGCAGCAGUGGGGAAUAUUGGACAAUGGGCGCAAGCCUGAUCCAGCCAUGCCGCGUGAGUGAUGAAGGCCCUAGGGUUGUAAAGCUCUUUCAGCGAGGAGGAUAAUGACGUUACUCGCAGAAGAACGCCCCGGCUAACUUCGUGCCAGCAGCCGCGGUAAUACGAAGGGGCUAGCGUUGUUCGGAAUCACUGGGCGUAAAGCGCACGUAGGCGGACUUUUAAGUCAGGGGUGAAAUCCCGGGGCUCAACCCCGGAACUGCCUUUGAUACUGGAAGUCUUGAGUCCGAGAGAGGUGAGUGGAACUCCGAGUGUAGAGGUGAAAUUCGUAGAUAUUCGGAAGAACACCAGUGGCGAAGGCGGCUCACUGGCUCGGUACUGACGCUGAGGUGCGAAAGCGUGGGAGCAAACAGGAUUAGAUACCCUGGUAGGACAGUG